AAAAAUAUUUGAAAAAAUAAAUAAGUUGUAAGUCAUACCUUUUUAUUUUCCUUUAGUUUACUUCUUUAAAAUUCAUAUCUAUAUGACAAUUAUUUCUUAACAUAUCUCUGUCAAAACUCUAAUGUAGGGCCAGGGAUUUAGCUCAGUGGUACUGCCACCUGCCUCACAAGUACAAGGUCCCGAGUUUGAUCCCCGGUACCAAAAAACAAAACAAAACUCCAAUGUAAAAGUUUAAAAAUUAGCAAAAUCUCAGUGAGUUCAACAAUUUGCAAAGUUAUUUUAAAGUUAUUUAAAUUUUUGUGCUAAAUUAGUUCAUAGCUUUUGCUUUUGAAAACACAGAUAGGAAUGGACUUCGUAGAAUGACAGAAAAAGGUGGUUUUGUCUAAGUAGUGAUUUUUUUCAAUAUAGACACAUGAUAUGUUUCUACGUGACAUAUGGAUAUUUCCUGUAGCUAUUAGUUGUGUUUAAUAUGAAAUUUAUAUUUUUCUUCUAAAAAUUUACUUAAUAAAACAGACAACUUGAUUGACUUUGUUUUUACCCUGUGGAUUGGCUAGUUUGUGGCACAAAUGAUACCGAUCAGAAUGAUGCUCUCAUUCAAGCAGUACCUCAAGAGCGUGGACUUUCAUAAUUGUGGAGAUGGAGACUCUACAGUUACAACUGACAGAGCCUGAGUACUGAUAGUGAAAGAAUUGCCAAGGCCAGCAGUUCAAGAUCCUGCACUUUCAGGGAUCGAACUCAGGUCCUUGAGCUUGCGAGGCAGGUGCUGGAACCACUGAGCUAAAUCCCCGGCCCCUAACUGAUAUUCUAUAGGAGGAAAUGGAAGUCAGGCAAAGUAUACAUUUUUUGACUCUUUCAGACAAGCCAGAGUUCUGAUUUCACAAAAGAUAAAUGGAGAGUGUCUGAAGGCAAAAGCAAGUGCCACAGUCCAGAAUUUGAGAAGAAUUCAAAUUGGUGUGGACUUUCUUGUACUCCUUUUCUCCUUCAGCUAUAUCUGGAGUUGGGGCUGGAAGAUCAAGGAAAACAAGGGGAAAUGGUUGCUGAGAUCUGUUGAGAGAGAUUCAUCCUCUGUGUAGACCUGGUAACAGUUCUGAUAUCAGAGAGAGGAACUCUUUCUCAGACCCAUUAAGGAGGCCCAGCUCCUAAGUUUCUGAGUGGCUUUUGAGGGUGUUUUCCAUGGUCAGCCUGCUCCGAGUCAUUUGUGAAAGAGGAAAUCUGACCACCAGAAGCAGAGCAACCCAGAAGAGCCUGGAGAAGGGGGACUAAGGUGGAGACACUGCUCAAAGGCCCACUCCCUGGAACCUGCUUUCUCCUCCUGGGACCCCUCCUGACAGCGCUAUGGAGUCACCCAUGGGUUAGUCCAUUAUGGAGGCUGCUGUCUUAGGAUCCAGUCUUCCUAAAAGGAUAAGCCUUUUGGGGUAAUUUUAGAUGAAACAGUAACAGACAUUGUUCCUCAAUUGCUUCAUUUUCAAGUAGAAAAGGAAAAUAUUUACUUGCAAAAAUUCUACUCCUAAAAUUCACUGCAUGUUCCUAUUUGGAGUUGCAAGAUUUGAUUUUAUUUUCAAAUUUUUUUGAGAAUCUUAUUUGUGAAAGAAAAACACAACUCUUCAUAUGUCGUUCCUAAUACUGGAGACAGCAAAUUAAUAUUCUGUUAUCAGAGGUUAUUCACUUCCAUCCCUUUCUGUGUUUGAUCUGCUGUAGUUUGCAGGAAGUGAGGAGAGGAGGUAUGGAUGGACAUGGCACAAAACUGCUUUCAGGUGGAUUUGGAGAGCUAGAAGAAGAAUCAAAGUUUGUUGAAUUUAAUCUUCUAUUCCUUGUUUAUUUGUUCGAUGAAAAAGAAAUGUCAGGUAACUAAAAUAAAAGCACAACUGGAAAUGAAGGAUGGACUAGAACAACUUUGGAAAGUAGAAUUAAAACCACCAGAAAAGAAAUGGAAGACAAAGAAAUAAAAUAAUUUACAAGCUGCAAUGUAGCAUAGACCUAAAAUGUGAUAGCAUAAUUGAGUGAAGAGUCUCUUGAAGAUGAUCAAAAUAUCAAACUGAUUAAUUAUAAAAUGUAACUGUGAAGAACUAUAAUUUUGUGAAGGAAGAAAAAUUGUGACUGUAUUUUCAAAAGUACAUUUUUAUCAUUCAUAUUAAAUGAAAUACAAAAUAGUGUUUGGAGAAAAAAGAAACUAAAAGAAUUGCAUAAAAU
ensembl:lncRNA